GCGGGGAUAGCUCAGUUGGGAGAGCGUCAGACUGAAGCCACCACUUCGGUUCUAUCAAUAUCAUCUGAAGGUCGUGCGUUCGAUCCGCACUCACCGCA